rnacentral:rRNA from 1 species
UGCGUAGGCGGUUUGAUAAGCGGAGUGUGAAAUCCCCGGGCUUAACCUGGGAACUGCAUUCCGAACUGUCAAGCUAGAGUAUGAUAGAGGGUGGUGGAAUUCCGAGUGUAGCGGUGAAAUGCGUAGAUAUUCGGAGGAACACCAGUGGCGAAGGCGACCACCUGGAUCAAUACUGACGCUGAGGCACGAAAGCGUGGGGAGGCAAACA